CAGUCGCCGCGGGAAUACGUAGGGUGCAAGCGUUAAUCGGAAUUACUGGGCGUAAAGCGUGCGCAGGCGGUUAUAUAAGACAGAUGUGAAAUCCCCGGGCUCAACCUGGGAACUGCAUUUGUGACUGUAUAGCUAGAGUACGGCAGAGGGGGAUGGAAUUCCGCGUGUAGCAGUGAAAUGCGUAGAUAUGCGGAGGAACACCGAUGGCGAAGGCAAUCCCCUGGGCCUGUACUGACGCUCAUGCACGAAAGCGUGGGGAGCAAACAGGAUUAGAUACCCGUGUAGUCCCUGUCUCUUAUAA
rnacentral:rRNA from 1 species